CUGCAGCUCAAGUGGUGACCACUAUUAUUGGGCCUAAAACGUUCGUAGCCGGUUUGGUAAAUGCCUGGGUAAAUCGUGUAGCUUAACUAUACGAAUUCCGGGUAGACUGCCGAACUUGAGACCGGGAGAAGCUAGAGGUACUCCUGGGGUAGAGGUGAAAUUCUGUAAUCCUGGGGGGACCACCAGUGGCGAAGGCGUCUAGCUAGAACGGGUCUGACGGUGAGGAACGAAGCCCUGGGGCGCAAACCGGAUUAGAUACCCGAGUAGUCC
rnacentral:rRNA from 1 species